AAGGUUCAGUAUUUUGCCUUGCAGCUUGUUAGAUAUCUAUGAAUCUUACAUUGCUUUCUUGUAGGCCUACUUGGUUCAGGGGAAGAUUGCUCAUUUCAUCUUUGUCUGCUUAUUUUUCAAAGACAAAUUUCUUAUUGUCUUUUAGAGAUCUGUGUAUUAAAUUCAUUUACAGACUUAAUUACCGGCUUACCGCCUUGUUUACUGCCAGUAAGCCCUUGUUGAGCAGUUUAAGUUGAUUCUAUGAAGCUAUAAUUUCAGGCUAGAUGUUUCCGCCUUGUUUACUGCCAGUAAGCCCUUGUUGAGCAGUUUAAGUUGAUUCUAUGAAGCUAUAAUUUCAGGCUAGCAAUCCACGUCCUGCUAUAAUUGUCGAAUAUUUUCGUUCUUUUUCUUUACAUGAAGUAAUACUAAUUGAAUGGACUAAUCUGAUAUCUAUAUUUUGUCCCAUCUUUCCUCCCCUCAUGUUGAAAUGCAG
rnacentral:lncRNA from 1 species